AUGGAUGUGAUGAUGCUUUCCCCAAAUGAUCGAAGCUGAAACUAUCGAGCACCGUUCUCAUUUAUUCGAGAAAUCCAAGCCAGGAAUCUUCUGAUCCAU